GACGAACGCUGGCGGCGUGCUUAACACAUGCAAGUCGAGCGGUAAGGCCCUUUCGGGGGUACACGAGCGGCGAACGGGUGAGUAACACGUGGGUGACCUGCCCUCAGCUCUGGGAUAAGCCUGGGAAACUGGGUCUAAUACUGGAUAUGACUCCACGGUGCAUGUCGUGGGGUGGAAAGCCUUGUGCGGCUGAGGAUGGGCCCGCGGCCUAUCAGCUUGUGGUGGGGUGAUGGCCUACCAAGGCGACGAC
rnacentral:rRNA from 1 species